rnacentral:lncRNA from 1 species
GAAGAAGAAGAAGAAGAAGAAGAAGAAGAAGAAGAAGAAGAAGAUUUUGGAAUUGAGAGUUUUGAUGAGGAUUGGGGAAAACCCUAGAGAUUCGAAGAAGCCAUGGAUCUUUGGAAUUGAAAUUCGAAGGUGUGAGGAUCUAAGCGAUCGGGUUCAGGUGAAGGGAAAUGGAAUCUGAAUAAUUUUAGGGAUGUGUUUGGAUGAAGUGUGUUUCGAUUAAUUUCGGGUUGAUUAAGCUAAAGGAAGGGGUUACUGCUCUCUCACUGUGAAGC